rnacentral:lncRNA from 1 species
CAGGCCACUCCAAGAUAGUCCGAGAAAAAUUAUUGCUUGGUAAAUUGCUCUUUGCUAAGAAGUUUUUUUUUUUUUUUUUACACCAUUUUAAUAGAAAACAAUCACAGUAAACAAUUUGAUAUUGAGAUAAGAACGGCUGCAUUGGACCUUUAAUAGAAGAAUAGCAAUGCAGGCGAAUGUUGUGUGCUGACAAUCACCGACAACCUGGCUACAACAGGAGCGCUGCUGUCUCCUAUGCCAGCCACAAUGCAACAUUUUCUGUGAUCAUGGAUAGGUCAUGUGUAAGGAAAAUGUAUACAUUGUUGAUGCAAUAAUGCAAUGUUUAUGCGGACAACUAAUCGCGCGCUAUUGUAUCAUAUUGAAACUCCUUUAUGACUAAUUAUGCUACAGUAGUAUCUAGUCUCGGUGAAUGAUUUCAUGAAUAAUGCAUGAACAUACCAUGCAGCCGGAAGAAACAUUUUUUUCGUGCAUCAUUUAGAGUGAUUACGGCAUCGGGCGUGUCUCCCUCUUCUCUUUUACUUAAAAAAAAAUACUGUUAAGUGUACUAGGACGGAGGAACUAGAAUGAAAAACGAUAGAAGUUCAUUGAUUUUUUGAUUCAACAAUACGGAAUUAUUUGGAUUUUGACCAUCAUCUUUCAGAUGUUUUCUGUGUGACGCUUUAUGCUCCUUUUCGGUGUGAUAAAAGGGAUAGACCACCAUGGCCAGUCCAGCACCAGCAUGCUGCAAAACCCCUUCCAGUCCAGAGGGGGGAGUGGCGGAGACCCAAACGACAAAGCGCUUCAUCACGGACAACUAUGAGCUAAGCAAGGAAGAGCUAGAUGGUCUCAUGAAGGAAGGAGAAGAAGAGCGUCCCUUCCUGGUGGUCCAUCAUCUGCUGGAUGUAAAAGAGGCAGGUGUGCGGUAUUAUUGCCUGGGACUCAGGUCAUUGCAGAGUGGACAGCACUGAGAGACACCACACGCUCCAAGGUGUGUGUGUGUGUCAACUGUAAAUGUGUAUAUAACGUUGUAGUUGGACGUUCGUACACCUUAGCCAAUACAUUUAAACUCUGUUUUUCACAUUCCUGACAUUUAAUAUAGUAAAAAUUCC